rnacentral:rRNA from 1 species
AUUGAACGCUGGCGGCAUGCCUAACACAUGCAAGUCGAACGAGUGGCGGACGGGUGAGUAAUGUCUGGGAAACUGCCUGAUGGAGGGGGAUAACUACUGGAAACGGUAGCUAAUACCGCAUACCAUCAGAUGUGCCCAGAUGGGAUUAGCUAGUUGGUGGGGUAAAGGCUCACCAAGGCGACGCUCCCUAGCUGGUCUGAGAGGAUGACCAGCCACACUGGAACUGAGACACGGUCCAGACUCCUACGGGAGGCAGCAGUGGGGAAUAUUGCACAAUGGGCGCAAGCCUGAUGCAGCCAUGCCGCGGGUAUGAAGAAGGCCUUCGGGUUGUAAAGUACUUUCAGCGGGGAGGCGUUACCCGCAGAAGAAGCACCGGCUAACUCCGUGCCAGCAGCCGCGGUAAUUC